rnacentral:ncRNA from 2 species
ACAAAUUAAGGCGAUGAGGCUCGCCGCAAUUGUCUAUUAGGACUGAUAGCCUCUGUAGAAGA